rnacentral:rRNA from 1 species
AGAGUUUGAUCCUGGCUCAGGACGAACGCUGGCGGCGCGCCUAACACAUGCAAGUCGAACGAGCGAGAGAGAGCUUGCUUUCUCGAGCGAGUGGCGAACGGGUGAGUAACGCGUGAGGAACCUGCCUCAAAGAGGGGGACAACAGUUGGAAACGACUGCUAAUACCGCAUAAGCCCACGGCUCGGCAUCGAGCAGAGGGAAAAGGAGUGAUCCGCUUUGAGAUGGCCUCGCGUCCGAUUAGCUGGUUGGUGAGGUAACGGCCCACCAAGGCGACGAUCGGUAGCCGGACUGAGAGGUUGAACGGCCACAUUGGGACUGAGACACGGCCCAGACUCCUACGGGAGGCAGCAGUGGGGAAUAUUGCACAAUGGGGGAAACCCUGAUGCAGCGACGCCGCGUGGAGGAAGAAGGUCUUCGGAUUGUAAACUCCUGUUGUUGGGGAAGAUAAUGACGGUACCCAACAAGGAAGUGACGGCUAACUACGUGCCAGCAGCCGCGGUAAAACGUAGGUCACAAGCGUUGUCCGGAAUUACUGGGUGUAAAGGGAGCGCAGGCGGGAAGACAAGUUGGAAGUGAAAUCUAUGGGCUCAACCCAUAAACUGCUUUCAAAACUGUUUUUCUUGAGUAGUGCAGAGGUAGGCGGAAUUCCCGGUGUAGCGGUGGAAUGCGUAGAUAUCGGGAGGAACACCAGUGGCGAAGGCGGCCUACUGGGCACCAACUGACGCUGAGGCUCGAAAGUGUGGGGAGCAAACAGGAUUAGAUACCCUGGUAGUCCACACCGUAAACGAUGAUUACUAGGUGUUGGAGGAUUGACCCCUUCAGUGCCGCAGUUAACACAAUAAGUAAUCCACCUGGGGAGUACGACCGCAAGGUUGAAACUCAAAGGAAUUGACGGGGGCCCGCACAAGCAGUGGAGUAUGUGGUUUAAUUCGA